rnacentral:rRNA from 1 species
UACGUAGGGGGCAAGCGUUGUCCGGAUUUAUUGGGCGUAAAGAGCGUGUAGGCGGCCAUUCAGGUCAGCUGUGAAAACUCGAGGCUCAACCUCGAGACGUCGGUUGAAACCGUUUGGCUAGAGUCCGGAAGAGGAGUGUGGAAUUCCCGGUGUAGCGGUGAAAUGCGCAGAUAUCGGGAAGAACACCCGUGGCGAAGGCGGCACUCUGGGACGGUACUGACGCUGAGACGCGAAAGCGUGGGGAGCAAACAGG